UCCAAUAAACACGCAAAUUUAAGUCGUAAUUUAUUGAUUUAUACAUAUGUAUCUUUUCUGCGAUUUACUUGCACUUUAGUGGCGGUAGGAAAUAAUUAUUUGUUAUUUUUAUUUUAAGCGGUCACAUUUGCUCUUGAACAUCCAGACGCCAGAAUUCCAGCCAAACCCCUGCGUUCAUAUUUCGAUAAAUCUGCCCUUGUUUGAAUCAACAAACAUACCGUUGAAUCGCCUCCCGGGCGAUAACGGAAGCAAUCGACCCCGGACACCGGCCCGAUACGAAAAUUUGCUGACAUAUUACUGAAUGUAGUCGCAUGGGCCAGAGAUUCCUAGAGUAGUUGAUAUUGAGAUAUUCAUGAGUCUAUGUGAACGUGAUUGAAAGAGAAUGAGAUGACAGCAAAAAAGCUUUAACCACUCUGAGCAACGAACUUAAAGUUUCGAAUUUCAAAUAUUUAAUAAAAAAAUGUUUUUUAUUUUUUAUUAUCUAUACGAUUUGGAAAGUUUCAUGUUUUUUUUAACAAUUAAUAAAUUUUCAGUUUGCACUCUUGCUCGGUGAACGUUUUGUUUCGCAAAAAAUAUAA